GGCAGCGCGGGCUUCGGCCUGGCGGCGAGUGGCGGACGGGUGAGUAAUGCUUGGGAAUCUGCCUAGUAGUGGGGGAUAACCCGGGGAAACCCGGGCUAAUACCGCAUACGUCCUACGGGAGAAAGCGGGGGAUCGUAAGACCUCGCGCUAUUAGAUGAGCCCAAGUCGGAUUAGCUAGUUGGUAGGGUAAUGGCCUACCAAGGCGACGAUCCGUAGCUGGUCUGAGAGGACGAUCAGCCACACCGGAACUGAGACACGGUCCGGACUCCUACGGGAGGCAGCAGUGGGGAAUAUUGGACAAUGGGCGCAAGCCUGAUCCAGCAAUGCCGCGUGUGUGAAGAAGGCCUGCGGGUUGUAAAGCACUUUCAGCAGGGAAGAACAGCGUGGGGCUAAUAUCCCCGCGUCCUGACGUAACCUGAAGAAGAAGCACCGGCUAACUCCGUGCCAGCAGCCGCGGUAAUACGGAGGGUGCGAGCGUUAAUCGGAAUUACUGGGCGUAAAGCGUACGUAGGUGGCUUGAUAAGUCGAAUGUGAAAGCCCUGGGCUUAACCUGGGAACUGCAUCCGAAACUGUCUGGCUAGAGUAAGGGAGAGGGAAGCGGAAUUUCCGGUGUAGCGGUGAAAUGCGUAGAUAUCGGAAGGAACACCAGUGGCGAAGGCGGCUUCCUGGCCCAUUACUGACACUGAGGUACGAAAGCGUGGGGAGC
rnacentral:rRNA from 1 species